GUGCUCGCUUCGGCAGCACAUAUACUAAAAUUGGAAUGAUACAGAGAAGAUUAGCAAGACCCCUGCACAAGGAUAACACUAAAACAGGGAGGAGUCUCAGGUUGAC